rnacentral:rRNA from 1 species
AUUGAACGCUGGCGGCAGGCCUAACACAUGCAAGUCGAACGGUAACAGGAAGCAGCUUGCUGCUUCGCUGACGAGUGGCGGACGGGUGAGUAAUGUCUGGGAAGCUGCCUGAUGGAGGGGGAUAACUACUGGAAACGGUAGCUAAUACCGCAUAAUGUCGCAAGACCAAAGAGGGGGACCUUCGGGCCUCUUGCCAUCGGAUGUGCCCAGAUGGGAUUGGCUUGUUGGUGGGGUAACGGCUCACCAAGGCGACGAUCCCUAGCUGGUCUGAGAGGAUGACCAGCCACCCUGGAACUGAGACACGGUCCAGACUCCUACGGGAGGCAGCAGUGGGGAAUAUUGCACAAUGGGCGCAAGCCUGAUGCAGCCAUGCCGCGUGUAUGAAGAAGGCCUUCGGGUUGUAAAGUACUUUCAGCGGGGAGGAAGGGAGUAAAGUUAAUACCUUUGCUCAUUGACGUUACCCGCAGAAGAAGCACCGGCUAACUCCGUG